rnacentral:rRNA from 1 species
AGAGUUUGAUCCUGGCUCAGGACGAACGCUGGCGGCGUGCUUAACACAUGCAAGUCGAACGGUGACGAGGAGCUUGCUCCUCUGAUCAGUGGCGAACGGGUGAGUAACACGUGAGCAACCUGCCCCAGACUCUGGGAUAACAGUUGGAAACAGCUGCUAAUACCGGAUACGAGACGGAGAGGCAUCUCUACCGUCUGGAAAGUUUUUCGGUCUGGGAUGGACUCGCGGCCUAUCAGCUAGUUGGUGAGGUAAUGGCUCACCAAGGCGACGACGGGUAGCCGGCCUGAGAGGGCGACCGGCCACACUGGGACUGAGACACGGCCCAGACUCCUACGGGAGGCAGCAGUGGGGAAUAUUGCACAAUGGGCGAAAGCCUGAUGCAGCGACGCCGCGUGAGGGAUGACGGCCUUCGGGUUGUAAACCUCUUUCAGCAGGGAAGAAGCGCAAGUGACGGUACCUGCAGAAGAAGCACCGGCUAACUACGUGCCAGCAGCCGCGGUAAUACGUAGGGUGCGAGCGUUGUCCGGAAUUAUUGGGCGUAAAGAGCUUGUAGGCGGUUUGUCGCGUCUGCUGUGAAAAUCCGGGGCUCAACCCCGGACUUGCAGUGGGUACGGGCAGACUAGAGUGUGGUAGGGGAGACUGGAAUUCCUGGUGUAGCGGUGAAAUGCGCAGAUAUCAGGAGGAACACCGAUGGCGAAGGCAGGUCUCUGGGCCACUACUGACGCUGAGAAGCGAAAGCGUGGGGAGCGAACAGGAUUAGAUACCCUGGUAGUCCACGCCGUAAACGUUGGGAACUAGGUGUGGGUCUCAUUCCACGAGAUCCGUGCCGCAGCUAACGCAUUAAGUUCCCCGCCUGGGGAGUACGGCCGCAAGGCUAAAACUCAA